rnacentral:rRNA from 1 species
AACGAACGCUGGCGGCAUGCCUAACACAUGCAAGUCGAACGAAGCCUUCGGGCUUAGUGGCGCACGGGUGCGUAACGCGUGGGAAUCUGCCCUUUGGUUCGGAAUAACAGUUGGAAACGACUGCUAAUACCGGAUGAUGACGAAAGUCCAAAGAUUUAUCGCCAGAGGAUGAGCCCGCGUAGGAUUAGCUAGUUGGUGUGGUGAAGGCGCACCAAGGCGACGAUCCUUAGCUGGUCUGAGAGGAUGAUCAGCCACACUGGGACUGAGACAGGGCCCAGACUCCUACGGGAGGCAGCAGUGGGGAAUAUUGGACAAUGGGCGAAAGCCUGAUCCAGCAAUGCCGCGUGAGUGAUGAAGGCCCUAGGGUUGUAAAGCUCUUUUACCCGGGAUGAUAAUGACAGUACCGGGAGAAUAAGCCCCGGCUAACUCCGUGCCAGCAGCCGCAGUAA